rnacentral:rRNA from 1 species
CGCGAAUGGCUCAUUACAACAGCUAUAAUCUACUUGUUCUUACUUCUAAACGGAUAACUGCGGUAAUUCUGGAGCCAAUACGUGCACAAAGGGCGGCGUAGCAAUACGUCGUCCGCAUUUAUCGGAGCAAAAUCAAUCUUGUUGACAUGCUAACUCUGGAUAACCCCGCUUAUCGCACGACCUCGGGUCGGCGAAGUAACAAUCGAGUAUCUGCCCUAUCACUUUUGUAGGUAGUGUAUUGGACUACCCAGAGGGUAACGGGUAACGGAGAAUCAGGGUUCGACUCCGGAGAGGGAGCCUUAGAGACGGCUACCAUUUCUAAGGAAAGCAGCAGGCGCGCAACUUAUCCACUGUCCACUCGGACGAGAUAGUGACGAGAAAUAACAAGCUCGUUCUCUUUGAGGUCGAGCAUUGGAAUGGACCGAAUGUAAACGAUUCGGUGAGUACCCAUGAGAGGGCAAGUCGGGUGCCAGCAGCCGCGGUAAUUCCAGCU